AUAAAUAUAUAUAAUUGUUUUUUUUUUUGAGAAAAAGGUAGCGAGCUACCUGCUUCAUUCAUAAAGCAAGAUGAAUUAAGCAUACAGGGGUGGAGGCAGCUGAGGCCUCCGAGUUCGAAAAAUGAAGUACAGAAAAAGAUUAAAGUAAAAGUAUAAAGUAAAAAAAACUAAAAAAAGAAAUAAAAGAAGAGAGAGAGCAAGAGAUGGGAAGGGGG
rnacentral:lncRNA from 1 species